CCUACGGGGGGCAGCAGUGAUGAAUAUUGGUCAAUGGACGAGAGUCUGAACCAGCCAAGUCGCGUGAAGGAUGACUGCCCUCUGGGUUGUAAACUUCUUUUAUAAAGGAAUAAAACGAGGCACGUGUGCCUUUUUGCAUGGACUUUAUGAAUCAGGAUCUGCUAACUCCGUGCCAGCAGCCGCGGUAAUACGGAGGAUCCGAGCGUUAUCCGGAUUUAUUGGGUUGAAGGGUAGCGUAGGUGGGUUGUUAAGUCAGUUGUGAAAGUUUGCGGCUCAACCGUAAAAUUGCAAUUGAUACUGGCAGUCUUGAGUACAGUUGAGGUAGGCGGAAUUCGUGGUGUAGCGGUGAAAUGCUUAGAUAUCACGAAGAACCCCGAUUGCGAAGGCAGCUUACUAAACUGUGACUGACAUUGAUGCUCGAAAGUGUGGGUAUCAAACAGGAUUAGAUACCCCGGUAGUC
rnacentral:rRNA from 1 species